rnacentral:rRNA from 1 species
GUACCUUCGUUUCCUCGGCGGGUUCGCCCGCCGGUUGGACAACACUUAAACCCUUUGUAAUUGAAAUCAGCGUCUGAAAAAACUUUAAUAGUUACAACUUUCAACAACGGAUCUCUUGGUUCUGGCAUCGAUGAAGAACGCAGCGAAAUGCGAUAAGUAGUGUGAAUUGCAGAAUUCAGUGAAUCAUCGAAUCUUUGAACGCACAUUGCGCCCCUUGGUAUUCCAUGGGGCAUGCCUGUUCGAGCGUCAUUUGUACCUUCAAGCUCUGCUUGGUGUUGGGUGUUUGUCUCGCCUCUGCGCGCAGACUCGCCUCAAAGCAAUUGGCAGCCGGCGUAUUGAUUUCGGAGCGCAGUACAUCUCGCGCUUUGCACUCAUAACGACGACGUCCAAAAAGUACAUUUUUUACACUCUUGACCUCGGAUCAGGUAGGGAUACCCGCUGAACUUAAGCAUAUCA